rnacentral:rRNA from 1 species
AUGGCGACGCCGGAGGUGGUCGCCUCCGACGCUGCCAACCCGCAGCCGGAUGAGCCAUCUCGGGCUGAGGAAGCUGCCCCAGUGGCGGAACCAGAGGAAGCAUCCGAUCUUGGCGCCGUUGCGGCGGCCCCAGCGGUGGAAGAGGUGGCAGCUGGGGAUGCCCCGCCCGCUACCACUCCUACCUCCACCUCCACCUCGAGUGCCGCAGUGCUACCGCCGCCUGCUUCCCCUGCCUCGGCUGCCGCUCCAGGGCCGCCGCCGCCGCGGCCGCAGUUCGCUGGCUCGCCGGCGUACAUGGCGCCUCCGGCGUCGUCUCCGGCGCCCGCGUUCUCUUACAACGUUCUGCCCAGGGCGCCGCCCUCGCAGCAUAUGGGCAGCGGUUUGGCCCACCAGCAGCUAGCUUCCGCUCCGGCUCUGAUGGCUCGUCCAAUGCCUCCAGCGGCUCUCCAGCCACCAGCUCCACGGCAGUAUUUUGGGAACAGGCCUUCUUUCUCAUAUAAUGUAGUCUCACAUGCCAAUGCUAGCCUGCCUACUGGUCAGCAGUUUCAACUUGACACUAGGACAAACCAUGCUGUCCAAGUCCCUAUGUUUGCUCCACCAGCAUCCUUGCAACCUCCUGCUCCUGGGCAAUUGCCUCGCCCAGGUGCACCAUUCCCUGGACCUAUGGCACCAAAUCCUCCUGCAUCUAUUCGGUUGCCAUUUCCAGUGCCACCCAGGAUGCCCAAUAUUCUUUAUGGUGCAAACCCACAACAGGGUAACCUGGAUGUUGGUGCUUCCAAGUCGGAUGCCCCAAGUGCCCCAGAGGUAAGUCCCCAUACAGUGCAGUCACUGCCACCUCGUCCUGAGGGAUUUGGGGCUGUUGGGGGUUCUGCACCUGGACAACGUCCUUCAAACUUGUCAACUCCACCAAGCCUCCUUCAGAGGCCUACAGGUCCAGCCCCAUCUUUGCCUCAAACAUCACCAUCAGGUGCUGCACCAGGUGCUGUUCCACGGGCAACUCAGCAACAGUUUUAUCCAUCCUAUCCUUCAGCCCCAUCCUAUCCUUCAGCGCCUGGUAAUCCACCUCAACCUUUAUGGGGAUAUCCUCCACAACCUACUGGCUUUCAGCAGGCUCCCUUCCAUUCAUAUCCACCGGGCUCUCUUGGACCUCUUGGUACACCAAUGGUUGGAACUUCUUCUGUGACUACAUCCUUGCCCAACAUCCAACCACCAGGCAUUACAACUGGUGAUCCCAAAGAACAACCAUCCGUAAAUCCAGGAUCUGUGCAGUCCAUUCAUACUUCAGUUGAACAACAUCCAACAGGGCUGGAGGACAGAAGUAUGGCCGGAGUUCAGGAUUCAGAUGCAUGGUCUGCACACAAAACAGAAGCCGGUGUUUUAUAUUAUUACAAUGCCUUGACAGGGGAAUCAACUUAUCAAAGACCACCUGGUUAUAAGGGGGAGCUCGAGAAGGUUGCAGCUCAACCAGUUCCAGCUUCUUGGGACAAAAUUGCUGGCACAGACUGGAGCAUAGUAACUACAAGUGAUGGAAAGAAAUAUUACUAUGACAAUAAACAAAAGGUUAGCAGCUGGCAACUUCCGCCGGAGGUGGCUGAACUCAACAAGAAUGCUGAUUCUGGCAACUUGAAAGGAAGUUCAACUUCACUGCAGGAUGCUGGCACAGUAGCAAAUAAGGGAGAGGCGAGUGGUGAAAUAAGUACUCCUGCCUUACAGACAGGUGGCCGUGAUUCGUUGCCACUUCGGCAAACAGUUGCCCCUGCAUCGCCUUCUGCUUUGGAUUUGAUAAAGAAGAAAUUGCAGGACGCUGGUGCUUUCAGUGUGUCCUCUCCUCUUGCUACUCCAUCAUCUAGUGCAUCCGAGUUGAAUGGAUCUAAACCAGCUGAUGGUGCACCUAAGGAACAGCAAGGUUCAAAAAAUGGUGAGAAAUCAAAGGAUAACAAUGGCAAUGAAAAUAUGUCAGAUUCCUCUUCAGAUUCAGAUGAUGAGGAACAUGGACCAAGUAAAGAGGAUUGUAUUCGUGAGUUUAAGAAAAUGCUAAAGGAACGAGGAGUAGCACCAUUUUCAAAGUGGGAGAAGGAACUGCCAAAAAUAGUAUUCGAUUCACGAUUUAAGGCUAUUCCAAGUCACUCGACUAGACGGGCUAUAUUUGACCACUUUGUUCGGACACGUGCUGACGAGGAACGAAAAGAGAAGAGAGCUGCUCAGAAGGCUGCCGUUGAGGCAUAUAAACAGCUAUUAGAAGAAGCAUCUGAGGGCAUCGAUUCAAAACCAGGUUACCAGGAUUUCGAAAGAAAAUGGGGUGCUGACCCAAGAUUUGUAGCCUUGGAUAAAAAAGAAAGGGAGGCUCUUUUCAAGGAGAAGGUGAGGGCUCUUGAAGAGAAAGUUCAAUCAGCGCGAAAUGCUGUCAUAACUGACUUCAAAUCAAUGCUUCGAGAAUGUAAGGAUAUAAUCCCAACUAGCCGUUGGACCAAAGUGAAAGAAAAUUUCCGGAGUGAUCCAAGGUACAAAGCUGUAAAGCACGAAGAGAGAGAGAAUGCUUUUAAUGAAUACAUAGCAGAACUUAAAUCAGCUGAACGGGAAGUGGAGCAAGCUGCAAAGGCCAAAGUGGAUGAACAAGCCAAAUUAAGGGAGAGGGAACGCGAAACUCGCAAAAGGAAAGAAAGGGAAGAGCAGGAAAUGGAGAGAGUAAAAUUGAAGAUCCGAAGAAAAGAUGCCACGUCUUCGUAUCAGGCUUUGCUUGUUGAAACUAUAAAAGAUCCAAAGGCAUCAUGGACUGAAUCCAAACCAAAACUUGAGAAGGAUCCGCAAGGUCGUGCUGUAAAUCCGGACUUAGGCCAAGGUGAGGCCGAGAAGUUAUUCCGUGAACAUGUCAAGGACUUAUAUGAGCGUUGUCGCCGUGACUUCAGGGCACUUCUGUCUGAGGCGAUUGCCCCAGACGCAGCAACUCGGACGACGGAAGGAGGAAAGACUGUGGUUAUCUCUUGGAGCGAAGCAAAAGACCUUCUAAGAUCUGAUCCAAGGUACAGCAAAGUGGCAAGCAAAGAUCGAGAGUCAAUGUGGCGACGAUAUGCGGAUGAUAUGGUGAGAAAGCUCAAACAGCCGGACACGGAGAAACCGGAUACCAAUGCCAGACAACAACAACAACGACAACAACAACGCAGGUCCUCUGAUCCGCCGAGGCGGAGGUAA